CGACUAGAGAUGUAAGCGAUUCCGUGCCGUGACGAGGGCCACCUCCUCAGGUGGUGGGUCGUGAUUAAUGAGAAAGUAGUCGUAAGUGGGGGCAUAAUUGAUAACUCUUGAUAUGAAUUUACAGCUUCGAAAAAGCGUCGCAAGAUUUGCCAACUAAACCACACCCAGGGAGCAGCUUUCUUUGGGCAGAUUCUGAAUCUUUCGAUCUGACUGACUGUUCUCACGAUGGCUCCUCCUGUGCGCACGUGGCCAUCUCGAGGAGGCCACUGUGACUGCGAGUCUUGGAGUAUCUUCGCAGGCUUUCGCAAUCGCCCACCGCUGCUGCCUGCUGCCUGCUGCUGGAUUUGUUGUGUGUUUUUCUUUGCAGCGCUUCGUUGAUUUCUGCAGCUUAGCCACUCGCUCGUCCAGCGCUAUUUUGGUCUGUGGGGGGCUUCUUUUUUGGGUCUGCAGUUCUGCCCACUCAUAGACACACACACAACAAAUUUGUUUGGCCUAAUCACGGGCCUGUAAUCUUCAACGCGCUUUCUUGUUUGGGUGUGGUUUGGCCUGCUCGCCGGGCCUCUCCUGAACCGGUUGCAUUGCUGAGCCCCGUCUUUGGCUGGUCAAUAAAAUCCUGUAUGCUCCUCCCCGCACUCACAUUUCUGACCAGCCAAAUGAGUAUUUGGCCCAAAGGCUUUGCAGCUGACUCUUCUCCUUCAACCCGAUACCCCUUUCGCUUUUACGUUUUGCGGACGAGUAAUUGCCUUGUCACGAUUCUGAUUUUGUCUGCCAUCCCGGUGUGCCAUAGGAGUCGGGGCUACUGGGCUGCAGGGGGGAUUACUUUGAUUCCCUUUGUAUUGCCGUUGAC
rnacentral:lncRNA from 1 species